ACGAGGCUGUUCGGCUCGACAGGAACUUGAAUCCCCGGGGCCUUAUCGAUCCUAAAGGGAGCUGUUCCUGACCUGGCCCGUGGGCUGGGACAUACGGCGCCCACCUACUUUGUAGGUCCCGGGAUCGAACCUUCCAUCGGCCGAGGCGGCUUCGUC
rnacentral:other from 1 species